rnacentral:rRNA from 1 species
UACGAAGGGGGCUAGCGUUGCUCGGAAUCACUGGGCGUAAAGCGCACGUAGGCGGAUUGUUAAGUCAGGGGUGAAAUCCUGGAGCUCAACUCCGGAACUGCCUUUAAGACUGCAUCGCUAGAAUUGUGGAGAGGUGAGUGGAAUUCCGAGUGUAGAGGUGAAAUUCGUAGAUAUUCGGAAGAACACCAGUGGCGAAGGCGACUCACUGGACACAUAUUGACGCUGAGGUGCGAAAGCGUGGGGAGCAAACAGG